rnacentral:lncRNA from 1 species
UAAGGAACUAACUAAGAAAAGACGAGUGAAUUCGAAGUAAAAAUAUAUAUAAAUAUGAUCCGAUCAGCCGCACAUUUCUCUCUCUAUGGCCUCCAUAAUUGUUCAGUAAAUUCUGCCUACAACACGUUAUUAGCACGCUUUUGACGCUGUGCUAAAGGGAGUUUGAUAUUCAAUGUGGGGAGUAUUACGUUUUAAUCAUUCUUUCUAUGAUUAAUUUAUUAUUUUAUUGAAUUGAUAUACAUGCUAUUGAUUCAAUUUAAUUUUUAUGUGAUGAAUAUGAUAUAACGCAUUGGAGAUACAAUUCUGGUUUUAUAAGAAUUAUCUUUUACAAAUUCAAAGGCUUUUAUUGUUUUAUGCCAAUCAGGUACGUUUAAAAUAAAGUAAGAUAUUUGAAGCGACCAUGAAGCAUGAAAACAUUCCCCAUGAUGCAUGAACCCCCAUAUGUUUAUAUUUUCCUUCCGAUAUAUAUAUAUAUAUAUAUAUAUAUAUAUAUAUAUAUAUAUAUAUAUAUAUAUAUAUAUAUUUGUUUCAUGCAUCGCACAAUUAAAUUGUUAUGUGGAAUAUGUGAGUCAAAGUAUCAAAUUAAAUUAGAAGAAAAUUUAGGGUUUCCUAAACCCUAGGGGAUUUGGAAAAAAAAAA